rnacentral:rRNA from 1 species
GAGGGGUGCGAACACUAUUCGGAAUCACUGGGCGUAAAGGGUGCGUAGACGGCGAAAUAAGUCAAUUAUAAAAUCUCCUGGGCUUAACCGGGAGCCCGUAGUUGAAACUGUUUAGCUAGAGGGCGGAAGAGAGAAGUGGAAUUCUCGGAGUAGCGGUAAAAUGCGUAGAUCUCGAGAGGAACACCGAUGGCGAAGGCAGCUUCUUGGUCCGCGCCUGACGUUGAGGCACGAAAGCGUGGGGAGCAAACAGGAUUAGAUACCCUGGUAGUCCACGCCGUAAACGAUGAUCACUAGAUGUUAGGUCCGAUUCAGGGCUUGGUGUCGCAGCUAACGCGUUAAGUGAUCCGCCUGGGAAGUACGAUCGCAAGAUUA